rnacentral:rRNA from 1 species
AUGAACGCUAGCUACAGGCUUAACACAUGCAAGUCGAGGGGCAGCGGGAUUGAAGCUUGCUUCAAUUGCCGGCGACCGGCGCACGGGUGAGUAACGCGUAUCCAACCUUCCGCUUACUCGGGGAUAGCCUUUCGAAAGAAAGAUUAAUACCCGAUGGUAUCUUAAGCACGCAUGAGAUUAAGAUUAAAGAUUUAUCGGUAAGCGAUGGGGAUGCGUUCCAUUAGGCAGUUGGCGGGGUAACGGCCCACCAAACCUACGAUGGAUAGGGGUUCUGAGAGGAAGGUCCCCCACAUUGGAACUGAGACACGGUCCAAACUCCUACGGGAGGCAGCAGUGAGGAAUAUUGGUCAAUGGGCGAGAGCCUGAACCAGCCAAGUAGCGUGAAGGAUGACGGCCCUACGGGUUGUAAACUUCUUUUGUGCGGGAAUAAAGGAACCUACGUGUAGGUUUUUGCAUGUACCGUAACGAAUAAGCAUCGGCUAACUCCGUGCCAGCAGCCGCGGUAAUACGGAGGAUGCGAGCGUUAUCCGGAUUUAUUGGGUUUAAAGGGAGCGUAGACGGGUUUUUAAGUCAGCUGUGAAAGUUUGGGGCUCAACCUUAAAAUUGCAGUUGAAACUGGAGACCUUGAGUACGGUUGAGGCAGGCGGAAUUCGUGGUGUAGCGGUGAAAUGCUUAGAUAUCACGAAGAACCCCGAUUGCGAAGGCAGCCUGCUAAGCCGCCACUGACGUUGAGGCUCGAAAGUGCGGGUAUCAAACAGGAUUAGAUACCCUGGUAGUCCGCACGGUAAACGAUGGAUACUCGCUGUUGGCGAUAGACAGUCAGCGGCCAAGCGAAAGCGUUAAGUAUCCCACCUGGGGAGUACGCCGGCAACGGUGAAACUCAAAGGAAUUGACGGGGGCCCGCACAAGCGGUGGAGCAUGUGGUUUAAUUCGAAGCAACGCGAAGAACCUUACCAGGUCUUGACAUCCCGAUGACCGGUCCGUAACGGGGCCUUCUCUUCGGAGCAUUGGAGACAGGUGGUGCAUGGUUGUCGUCAGCUCGUGCCGUGAGGUGUCGGCUUAAGUGCCAUAACGAGCGCAACCCUUGCUGCCAGUUACUAACAGGUCAUGCUGAGGACUCUGGCAGGACUGCCAUCGUAAGAUGCGAGGAAGGUGGGGAUGACGUCAAAUCAGCACGGCCCUUACGUCCGGGGCUACACACGUGUUACAAUGGGGAGUACAGAGGGCAGCUACCGGGCGACCGGAUGCGAAUCCCGAAAGCUCCUCUCAGUUCGGACUGGAGUCUGCAACCCGACUCCACGAAGCUGGAUUCGCUAGUAAUCGCGCAUCAGCCACGGCGCGGUGAAUACGUUCCCGGGCCUUGUACACACCGCCCGUCAAGCCAUGAAAGCCGGGGGUACCUGAAGUACGUAACCGCGAGGAUCGUCCUAGGGUAAAACCGGUAAUUGGGGCU